ACGGGUGGGUAACGCGUGGGAAUCUACCCCUUUCUACGGAACAACUCCGGGAAACUGGAGCUAAUACCGUAUACGUCCUUUUGGAGAAAGAUUUAUCGGAGAUGGAUGAGCCCGCGUUGGAUUAGCUAGUUGGUGGGGUAAUGGCCUACCAAGGCGACGAUCCAUAGCUGGUCUGAGAGGAUGAUCAGCCACACUGGGACUGAGACACGGCCCAGACUCCUACGGGAGGCAGCAGUGGGGAAUAUUGGACAAUGGGCGCAAGCCUGAUCCAGCCAUGCCGCGUGAGUGAUGAAGGCCCUAGGGUUGUAAAGCUCUUUCAACGGUGAAGAUAAUGACGGUAACCGUAGAAGAAGCCCCGGCUAACUUCGUGCCAGCAGCCGCGGUAAUACGAAGGGGGCUAGCGUUGUUCGGAAUUACUGGGCGUAAAGCGCACGUAGGCGGAUACUUAAGUCAGGGGUGAAAUCCCGGGGCUCAACCCCGGAACUGCCUUUGAUACUGGGUAUCUCGAGUCCGGAAGAGGUGAGUGGAAUUCCGAGUGUAGAGGUGAAAUUCGUAGA
rnacentral:rRNA from 1 species